rnacentral:misc_RNA from 1 species
UUCUUUCCGAGUCUACUCGUUUCUCACAUCUGUGUAGCUGAUCGCACCUGCGUUGCUGAUUGAAUCCAAUGGCGCCAAAGAAGGAUAAGGCUCCACCACCGUCAUCGAAGCCGGCGAAAUCUGGAGGAGGAAAGCAGAAGAAGAAGAAGUGGAGCAAAGGAAAGCAGAAGGAGAAGGUUAACAACAUGAUCUUGUUCGAUCAAGCCACCUAUGAUAAGCUUCUCUCUGAAGCCCCCAAGUACAAGCUCAUCACACCCUCUAUCCUCUCAGAUCGCUUAAGGGUAAUCUUUCCUUCUUUCAUCUCUUUUAUUUAAUAUACCUACUUGCCAUGCAAUUGUUGAUAUCGUAGAAGAGUGAUAGCAACCCAGUUAUGGUACGGGAGCUUAUGAUUUUGUAGUUUGAUCGUAUGAACAUGAUUCUUAACUGUUACAGAGUGCUCUUUGUGUGUGAAAUAUCAAUAUUUGACACCUGUGAAUAUGGUCAAGAGAUGAGAUUAGUAAAAUAAUUUUUUUCCCUGAUUGAAUGGAGUUGUAUAAUUGUAUUUAGUCCUGGCAAUUGACUUAAUUGAGCAUUCGGCAUAGAUGUCAUUUGUUUCUUGUGUUCGGUUUUUUUUGUUUUAUAAUCAAUAUUAUGGUGUUAUUUACUUUUCUUUCUUUUUUUUUUCCCUUUUUUAUUUGUGUUGGCUUGGUAUGACUUGAACUCCAUACUUUUUCAAUACCAUUAAGCAAAAGCUCAUUGUUUAUCUACUUCUAAAUUUAAACUUUCAUGUUUUAUUCUUCCUACAUAUAUUUCCUUUUUCUACUUAAGUGGGUACUAACAUAACAAUUAAAUUCCUUUGAGUUGCAUCGUAUAGAUAUUAGAUAGUCAUCUGAAGUGAAAGAAUUUACAUUUGAUAUGUGUUUUUGGUAUUCUGGUUGAGUAGAUUCAUUGAAUUUGGACCAGAUUGAUGAAUAUAUGGUACAACUGGGUUGGGUGUGAAUUUUGAAUACUUAUUAUAGAGAUGUAUUUCGAAUGCAACAUUUACAAUUUGGCUUUAAAAUUUUUGUUCUAUCCUUUGUUAGUAAGCUCUUAUGUUGUACAAUUUGAGCUAAAAACUCUGGUGAAUUCUUAGAUCUAAAUUUUUCCUAUCCAAAUGCAUUGAUAAAAAGUCCUCUAGAACAAGAUUCGCAUGCUAAUGUAGCAACUGGAGUGUAGGUUAGCAGUAUGGCCUCAUCUGUGGUCUA